rnacentral:rRNA from 1 species
AUUGAACGCUGGCGGCAUGCCUUACACAUGCAAGUCGAACGGUAACAGGUUAAGCUGACGAGUGGCGAACGGGUGAGUAAUGUAUCGGAACGUGCCCAGUCGUGGGGGAUAACUGCUCGAAAGAGCAGCUAAUACCGCAUACGACCUGAGGGUGAAAGCGGUGGAUCGCAAGACCUCGCGCGAUUGGAGUGGCCGAUAUCAGAUUAGGUAGUUGGUGAGGUAAAGGCUCACCAAGCCGACGAUCUGUAGCUGGUCUGAGAGGACGACCAGCCACACUGGGACUGAGACACGGCCCAGACUCCUACGGGAGGCAGCAGUGGGGAAUUUUGGACAAUGGGCGCAAGCCUGAUCCAGCCAUGCCGCGUGCGGGAAGAAGGCCUUCGGGUUGUAAACCGCUUUUGUCAGGGAAAAAAAGGUUCUGGCUAAUACCUGGGACUCAUGACGGUACCUGAAGAAUAAGCACCGGCUAACUACGUG